rnacentral:rRNA from 1 species
GAUGAACGCUAGCGGGAGGCCUAACACAUGCAAGCCGAGCGGUAUUGUUUCUUCGGAAAUGAGAGAGCGGCGUACGGGUGCGUAACACGUGUGCAACCUGCCUUUAUCUGGGGGAUAGCCUUUCGAAAGGAAGAUUAAUACUCCAUAAUAUAUUGAACGGCAUCGUUUAAUAUUGAAAGCUCCGGCGGAUAGAGAUGGGCACGCGCAAGAUUAGCUAGUUGGUGAGGUAACGGCUCACCAAGGCGAUGAUCUUUAGGGGGCCUGAGAGGGUGAUCCCCCACACUGGUACUGAGACACGGACCAGACUCCUACGGGAGGCAGCAGUGAGGAAUAUUGAUCAAUGGGUGCAAGCCUGAACCAGCCAUCCCGCGUGAAGGACGACUGCCCUAUGGGUUGUAAACUUCUUUUGUAUAGGGAUAAACCUACCCUCGUGAGGGUAGCUGAAGGUACUAUACGAAUAAGCACCGGCUAACUCCGUG